rnacentral:rRNA from 1 species
GGGUUGUGAGGUUAAGCGACUAAGCGUACACGGUGGAUGCCCUGGCAGUCAGAGGCGAUGAAGGACGUGCUAAUCUGCGAUAAGCGUCGGUAAGGUGAUAUGAACCGUUAUAACCGGCGAUUUCCGAAUGGGGAAACCCAGUGUGUUUCGACACACUAUCAUUAACUGAAUCCAUAGGUUAAUGAGGCGAACCGGGGGAACUGAAACAUCUAAGUACCCCGAGGAAAAGAAAUCAACCGAGAUUCCCCCAGUAGCGGCGAGCGAACGGGGAGCAGCCCAGAGCCUGAAUCAGUGUGUGUGUUAGUGGAAGCGUCUGGAAAGGCGCGCGAUACAGGGUGACAGCCCCGUACACAAAAAUGCACAUGCUGUGAGCUCGAUGAGUAGGGCGGGACACGUGGUAUCCUGUCUGAAUAUGGGGGGACCAUCCUCCAAGGCUAAAUACUCCUGACUGACCGAUAGUGAACCAGUACCGUGAGGGAAAGGCGAAAAGAACCCCGGCGAGGGGAGUGAAAAAGAACCUGAAACCGUGUACGUACAAGCAGUGGGAGCACGCUUAGGCGUGUGACUGCGUACCUUUUGUAUAAUGGGUCAGCGACUUAUAUUCUGUAGCAAGGUUAACCGAAUAGGGGAGCCGAAGGGAAACCGAGUCUUAACUGGGCGUUAAGUUGCAGGGUAUAGACCCGAAACCCGGUGAUCUAGCCAUGGGCAGGUUGAAGGUUGGGUAACACUAACUGGAGGACCGAACCGACUAAUGUUGAAAAAUUAGCGGAUGACUUGUGGCUGGGGGUGAAAGGCCAAUCAAACCGGGAGAUAGCUGGUUCUCCCCGAAAGCUAUUUAGGUAGCGCCUCGUGAAUUCAUCUCCGGGGGUAGAGCACUGUUUCGGCAAGGGGGUCAUCCCGACUUACCAACCCGAUGCAAACUGCGAAUACCGGAGAAUGUUAUCACGGGAGACACACGGCGGGUGCUAACGUCCGUCGUGAAGAGGGAAACAACCCAGACCGCCAGCUAAGGUCCCAAAGUCAUGGUUAAGUGGGAAACGAUGUGGGAAGGCCCAGACAGCCAGGAUGUUGGCUUAGAAGCAGCCAUCAUUUAAAGAAAGCGUAAUAGCUCACUGGUCGAGUCGGCCUGCGCGGAAGAUGUAACGGGGCUAAACCAUGCACCGAAGCUGCGGCAGCGACGCUGAUGCGUUGUUGGGUAGGGGAGCGUUCUGUAAGCCUGCGAAGGUGUGCUGUGAGGCAUGCUGGAGGUAUCAGAAGUGCGAAUGCUGACAUAAGUAACGAUAAAGCGGGUGAAAAGCCCGCUCGCCGGAAGACCAAGGGUUCCUGUCCAACGUUAAUCGGGGCAGGGUGAGUCGACCCCUAAGGCGAGGCCGAAAGGCGUAGUCGAUGGGAAACAGGUUAAUAUUCCUGUACUUGGUGUUACUGCGAAGGGGGGACGGAGAAGGCUAUGUUGGCCGGGCGACGGUUGUCCCGGUUUAAGCGUGUAGGCUGGUUUUCCAGGCAAAUCCGGAAAAUCAAGGCUGAGGCGUGAUGACGAGGCACUACGGUGCUGAAGCAACAAAUGCCCUGCUUCCAGGAAAAGCCUCUAAGCAUCAGGUAACAUCAAAUCGUACCCCAAACCGACACAGGUGGUCAGGUAGAGAAUACCAAGGCGCUUGAGAGAACUCGGGUGAAGGAACUAGGCAAAAUGGUGCCGUAACUUCGGGAGAAGGCACGCUGAUAUGUAGGUGAAGUCCCUCGCGGAUGGAGCUGAAAUCAGUCGAAGAUACCAGCUGGCUGCAACUGUUUAUUAAAAACACAGCACUGUGCAAACACGAAAGUGGACGUAUACGGUGUGACGCCUGCCCGGUGCCGGAAGGUUAAUUGAUGGGGUCAGCGCAAGCGAAGCUCUUGAUCGAAGCCCCGGUAAACGGCGGCCGUAACUAUAACGGUCCUAAGGUAGCGAAAUUCCUUGUCGGGUAAGUUCCGACCUGCACGAAUGGCGUAAUGAUGGCCAGGCUGUCUCCACCCGAGACUCAGUGAAAUUGAACUCGCUGUGAAGAUGCAGUGUACCCGCGGCAAGACGGAAAGACCCCGUGAACCUUUACUAUAGCUUGACACUGAACAUUGAGCCUUGAUGUGUAGGAUAGGUGGGAGGCUUUGAAGUGUGGACGCCAGUCUGCAUGGAGCCGACCUUGAAAUACCACCCUUUAAUGUUUGAUGUUCUAACGUGGACCCGUAAUCCGGGUUGCGGACAGUGUCUGGUGGGUAGUUUGACUGGGGCGGUCUCCUCCUAAAGAGUAACGGAGGAGCACGAAGGUUGGCUAAUCCUGGUCGGACAUCAGGAGGUUAGUGCAAUGGCAUAAGCCAGCUUGACUGCGAGCGUGACGGCGCGAGCAGGUGCGAAAGCAGGUCAUAGUGAUCCGGUGGUUCUGAAUGGAAGGGCCAUCGCUCAACGGAUAAAAGGUACUCCGGGGAUAACAGGCUGAUACCGCCCAAGAGUUCAUAUCGACGGCGGUGUUUGGCACCUCGAUGUCGGCUCAUCACAUCCUGGGGCUGAAGUAGGUCCCAAGGGUAUGGCUGUUCGCCAUUUAAAGUGGUACGCGAGCUGGGUUUAGAACGUCGUGAGACAGUUCGGUCCCUAUCUGCCGUGGGCGCUGGAGAACUGAGGGGGGCUGCUCCUAGUACGAGAGGACCGGAGUGGACGCAUCACUGGUGUUCGGGUUGUCAUGCCAAUGGCACUGCCCGGUAGCUAAAUGCGGAAGAGAUAAGUGCUGAAAGCAUCUAAGCACGAAACUUGCCCCGAGAUGAGUUCUCCCUGACUCCUUGAGAGUCCUGAAGGAACGUUGAAGACGACGACGUUGAUAGGCCGGGUGUGUAAGCGCAGCGAUGCGUUGAGCUAACCGGUACUAAUGAACCGUGAGGCUUAACCUUACAACGCCGAAGGUGUUU